rnacentral:rRNA from 1 species
CCUACGGGCGGCAGCAGUGGGGAAUAUUGGGCAAUGGGCGCAAGCCUGACCCAGCAACGCCGCGUGAAGGAAGAAGGCUUUCGGGUUGUAAACUUCUUUUAUGAGGGACGAAACAAAUGACGGUACCUCAUGAAUAAGCCACGGCUAACUACGUACCAGCAGCCGCGGUAAUACGUAGGUGGCAAGCGUUAUUCGGAUUUACUGGGUGUAAAGGGCGUGUAGGCGGGACAGCAAGUCAGAUGUGAAAAUUAUGGGCUCAACCCAAAAACUGCAUUUGAAACUGUAGUUCUUGAGUGUUGGAGAGGCAGGUGGAAUUCCGGGUGUAGCGGUGAAAUGCGUAGAUAUACGGAGGAACACCAGUGGCGAAGGCGGCCGGCUGGACCAUAACUGACGCUGAGGCGCGAAAGCGUGGGGAGCAAACAGGAUUAGAUACCCCUGUAGUC